rnacentral:rRNA from 1 species
GACGAACCGUGCGAACGUUGUUCGGAAUCACUGGGCUUAAAGGGCGCGUAGGCGGGCUGCCAAGUCAGGGGUGAAAGCCCACGGCUCAACCGUGGAAGUGCCUUUGAUACUGGCGGCCUUGAGGGAGGUAGGGGCGUGCGGAACUUCCGGUGGAGCGGUGAAAUGCGUAGAUAUCGGAAGGAACACCGGUGGCGAAAGCGGCGCGCUGGACCUCUUCUGACGCUGAGGCACGAAAGCCAGGGGAGCAAACGGG